rnacentral:rRNA from 1 species
UGAGGAAUUUUCCGCAAUGGGCGAAAGCCUGACGGAGCAAUGCCGCGUGAAGGAUGAAGGCCUAUGGGUCGUAAACUUCUUUUCUUAAUGAAGAAAUAAGACGGUAAUUAAGGAAUAAGCAUCGGCUAACUCCGUGCCAGCAGCCGCGGUAAUACGGAGGAUGCAAGCGUUAUCCGGAAUUAUUGGGCGUAAAGGGUUUGUAGGCUACUUUUUAAGUCUGCUGUUAAAGAAUAAGACUUAACCUUAGAAAAGCAGUAUGAAACUAAAAGGAUAGAGUUCAGUAGGGGUAGAGGGAAUUCUCGGUGUAGUAGUGAAAUGCGUAGAGAUCGAGAGGAACACCAAUAGCGAAAGCACUCUACUAGGCUGUAACUGACGCUAAGAAACGAAAGCUAGGGGAGCC